GGGGGCGAAACGGCUUCGACGGGAUUGGAUUGGCGUCGGAAGGCGUGCCGGGUUCCGAGCUCCCGUAAAACGAUCGGGCCAAAAUAACUGCCAACGCGCAGUAUGCCUACGCUGCCUAAUUAGGUAGGCAGCCGUCCUGGUCGGCCUUGCCCGCGGGCGGGCCAAGGGCGUCGGUGAGCGGGCUGGGUCGAUGGCCUUCGGCCCGGAGGUCUGAGACCGAGAGCGAAUCGGGCUAGGCGGCUGUGACCCUUGCCGGUUCGGGGCCGGCUGCUGAGAUCAAUGAACCGGCUACGCACGUAGGCUUCCGGCGGUGACCAGUCUCGGACGCGGGUUCGACUCCCGCCGCCUCCACCA
rnacentral:tmRNA from 1 species